GACGAACGCUGGCGGCGUGCUUAACACAUGCAAGUCGAACGGAAAGGCCCUGCUUUUGUGGGGUGCUCGAGUGGCGAACGGGUGAGUAACACGUGAGUAACCUGCCCUUGACUUUGGGAUAACUUCAGGAAACUGGGGCUAAUACCGGAUAGGAGCUCUGCUGCAUGGUGGGGGUUGGAAAGUUUCGGCGGUUGGGGAUGGACUCGCGGCUUAUCAGCUUGUUGGUGGGGUAGUGGCUUACCAAGGCUUUGACGGGUAGCCGGCCUGAGAGGGUGACCGGCCACAUUGGGACUGAGAUACGGCCCAGACUCCUACGGGAGGCAGCAGUGGGGAAUAUUGCACAAUGGGCGGAAGCCUGAUGCAGCAACGCCGCGUGCGGGAUGACGGCCUUCGGGUUGUAAACCGCUUUCGCCUGUGACGAAGCGUGAGUGACGGUAAUGGGUAAAGAAGCACCGGCUAACUACGUG
rnacentral:rRNA from 1 species